rnacentral:rRNA from 1 species
AUACGGAGGGGGCAAGCGUUGUUCGGAAUUACUGGGCGUAAAGGGCGCGUAGGCGGAUUAUCAAGUCAGAGGUGAAAGCCCUGGGCUCAACCUGGGAACUGCCUUUGAAACUGAUAGUCUUGAGUCCGAGAGAGGAUGGCGGAAUUCCCAGUGUAGAGGUGAAAUUCGUAGAUAUUGGGAAGAACACCAGUGGCGAAGGCGGCCAUCUGGCUCGGUACUGACGCUGAGGUGCGAAAGCGUGGGUAGCAAACAGGAUUAGAAACCCCGGUAGUCC